AAAUCUCUUGAGCAACGUGUGGUAUAGCCUCACCUGCUUCCCUCUGGGGACUUUGGAGGACUGGCUGAGAAGGUUUACUGAAAGCUCUGUAAUUACCCAUCCUUUGCUCCACUGAGGAUAUUACUCUGCAGCAGAAACGCUUUGUGGAAGUGCAGAUGAGAGCUGUGGCAACGGGAGGAACGAGGAAGAGGGGACCCUUCUGCCUUCCCACGGACCAAACUAUACAACUAUAUAUAGGAAAGGCCCUUUGGGGCCGCUUCUCACUGACGCUGUCACAGGCGCUGAGCUGCGGCUGAGGCCACGUGGAUGGCAGAGCACAAUGCAGGAGGGCUCCGUGUGCUGGGAGAGCCCGCAGUGCCUUUUGGGGUGCAGCUCACACACGCUUUCCUAUCCGAGCACAUAAAUCCGGGGGGAGAUGUUAUGCUGGUGGAAGAGUCUGACGGAGCGCAGGGCUCGCCUUUGUUUUCCUCUUUCUUUGUUUCCCUGGCUGAAGGAGCCCAAGGUCCAUACCCAGCGGGCAGUCAGCACGGAGUACAGAGGGAACCCAAGAGCAGAGCAGGCUUUGCAGAAGGACUCCGUGCUCCAUCCCUGUAAGCUGUGCUCAGAUGACAUCUUGAGUGCCACCUCAAGGUCUGCUGUGCCAGGAAUCCCUGAACUUCAACUCCCAGCUUUCACCCCCCUUCCCCAUCUCCUGUACCUUGAGCAGUAAAUGCUAUUCAAGGGGUUGUGAAAUAAAAACGCUGUUCC
rnacentral:lncRNA from 7 species